CCCGUCCGGUAUGGGCGCCAAAACACAUAAGAUCUCCAUACCCCGUCCGGUAUGAGAGACCACAAUCCCGGUAGGGUCCCCUACGGACCCGGUCCGUCCACCAUCUCCCAGGAUAUUUAGUCAGGCUGACCCCAUUACACAAUUAUCAAUUUAUACAAUCUUCCAUUCUUCUUUCCCUCAAUCAGCAUCAUCAAUUCGCAUUUAGAUAAGCAAAACAGUAAUUCAUGCCAAACAGACAACAUACAGUAUCGGUAUUUCAGUCAUUCAACCAAUAAUCAAUAAAACAGUAAAAUAUGCACACGAAACUAUAAAAUGAAAACAUCAAACCUCAUACUGCAUUCAAUACUGAAAAUUAGAUCAAACAAUAACAGAC
rnacentral:lncRNA from 1 species